rnacentral:rRNA from 1 species
UACGGGGGGGGCAAGCGUUGUCCGGAUUUACUGGCGUAAGAGCGUGUAGGCGGCCACGCAGGUCCGUUGUGAAACUGGAGGCUCAACCUUCAGAGGUCGACCGAAACCAUCUGGCUAGAGUCCGGGAGAGGAGAGUGGAAUUCCUGGUGUAGCGGGUGAAUGCGCAGAGUAUCAGGAGGAACACCGAUGGCGAAGGCAGCUCGCUGGGACGGUACUGACGCUGAGACGCGAAAGCGUGGGGAGCAAACAGG